rnacentral:rRNA from 1 species
GAUGAACGCUGGCGGCGUGCCUAAUACAUGCAAGUCGAACGCUGGAAAUCUAGCUUGCUAGAUUGAAGGAGUGGCGAACGGGUGAGUAAUACAUAAGCAACCUACCCACGAAGACUGGGAUAAUCUCUGGAAACGGGGACUAAUACCGGAUAGGUAAUCGGAAGGCAUCUUCUGAUUAUUAAAGGUUAAAAACACUGGUGGAUGGGCUUAUGGCGCAUUAGUUAGUUGGUGAGGUAACGGCCCACCAAGACGAUGAUGCGUAGCCGGCCUGAGAGGGUGAACGGCCACAUUGGGACUGAGACACGGCCCAGACGCCUACGGGAGGCAGCAGUAGGGAAUUUUCGGCAAUGGGGGAAACCCUGACCGAGCAACGCCGCGUGAGUGAUGACGGCCUUCGGGUUGUAAAGCUCUGUUGUAAGGGAAGAACGGUAGAUAGAGAAUAUCUAAAUGACGGUACCUUACCAGAAAGCCACGGCUAACUACGUG